rnacentral:rRNA from 1 species
UAGGGAAUCUUCCGCAAUGGACGAAAGUCUGACGGAGCCACGCCGCGUGAGUGAAGAAGGAUUUCGGUUCGUAAAACUCUGUUGUUAGGGAAGAAAAAAUGUAUAGUAACUAUAUACAAAAGAGACGGUACCUAACCAGAAAGCCACGGCUAACUACGUGCCAGCAGCCGCGGUAAUACGUAGGGGGCUAGCGUUAUCCGGAUUUACUGGGCGUAAAGGGUGCGUAGGUGGUCUUUCAAGUCGGUGGUUAAAGGAUACGGCUCAACCGUAGGUAGCCUCCGAAACUGGAAGACUUGAGUGCAGGAGAGGAAAGUGGAAUUCCCAGUGUAGCGGUGAAAUGCGUAGAUAUUGGGAGGAACACCAGUAGCGAAGGCGGCUUUCUGGACUGCAACUGACGCUGAGGCACGAAAGCGUGGGUAGCAAACAGG